GACGAACGCUGGCGGCGUGCUUAACACAUGCAAGUCGAACGCUGAAGCUCAGCUUGCUGGGUGGAUGAGUGGCGAACGGGUGAGUAACACGUGAGUAACCUGCCCUCUUCUUUGGGAUAACGCCCGGAAACGGGUGCUAUUACUGGAUAUUCACUGAUUCUCGCAUGGGGGUUGGUGGAAAGGUUUUUUCUGGUGGGGGAUGGGCUCGCGGCCUAUCAGCUUGUUGGUGGGGUGAUGGCCUACCAAGGCUUUGACGGGUAGCCGGCCUGAGAGGGUGACCGGUCACAUUGGGACUGAGAUACGGCCAGACUCCUACGGGAGGCAGCAGUGGGGAAUAUUGCACAAUGGGCGAAAGCCUGAUGCAGCGACGCCGCGUGAGGGAUGGAGGCCUUCGGGUUGUAAACCUCUUUCGCUCAUGGUCAAGCCGCAGCUUUGGGUUGUGGUGAGGGUAGUGGGUAAAGAAGCGCCGGCUAACUACGUG
rnacentral:rRNA from 1 species